UACGAAGGGGGCUAGCGUUGCUCGGAAUCACUGGGCGUAAAGCGCACGCAGGCGGAUCGUUAAGUCAGGGGUGAAAUCCCGAGGCUCAACCUCGGAACUGCCUUUGAUACUGAGAAGCUUGAGUCCGGGAGAGGUGAGUGGAACUGCGAGUGUAGAGGUGAAAUUCGUAGAUAUUCGCAAGAACACCAGUGGCGAAGGCGGCUCACUGGCCCGGUACUGACGCUGAGGAGCGAAAGCGUGGGGAGCAAACAGG
rnacentral:rRNA from 1 species